rnacentral:rRNA from 1 species
GACGUAGGGCGCGAGCGUUGUCCGGAUUUAUUGGGCGUAAAGAGCUCGUAGGCGGCUUGUUGCGUCAGCUGUGAAAACCCGCAGCUCAACUGUGGGCUUGCAGCUGAUACGGGCAGGCUUGAAUCCGGGAGAGGGAUGCGGAAUUCCAGGUGUAGCGGUGAAAUGCGUAGAUAUCUGGAGGAACACCGGUGGCGAAGGCGGCAUCCUGGACCGGCAUUGACGCUGAGGCGCGAAAGCCAGGGGAGCAAAGCGGGAUU